GAGUUUGAUCCUGGCUCAGAGCGAACGCUGGCGGCAGGCUUAACACAUGCAAGUCGAGCGGGCGUAGCAAUACGUCAGCGGCAGACGGGUGAGUAACGCGUGGGAACGUACCUUUUGGUUCGGAACAACACAGGGAAACUUGUGCUAAUACCGGAUAAGCCCUUACGGGGAAAGAUUUAUCGCCAAAAGAUCGGCCCGCGUCUGAUUAGCUAGUUGGUGAGGUAACGGCUCACCAAGGCGACGAUCAGUAGCUGGUCUGAGAGGAUGAUCAGCCACAUUGGGACUGAGACACGGCCCAAACUCCUACGGGAGGCAGCAGUGGGGAAUAUUGGACAAUGGGCGCAAGCCUGAUCCAGCCAUGCCGCGUGAGUGAUGAAGGCCCUAGGGUUGUAAAGCUCUUUUGUGCGGGAAGAUAAUGACGGUACCGCAAGAAUAAGCCCCGGCUAACUUCGUGCCAGCAGCCGCGGUAAUCGCCCAAU
rnacentral:rRNA from 1 species